rnacentral:rRNA from 1 species
CAAUAGCGUAUAUUAAAGUUGUUGCAGUUAAAAAGCUCGUAGUUGGACCUUGGACCUGGACAGGCGGUCCGCCUCACGGCGUGUACUGUCUUGCUGGGUCUUUCCUCUUGGUGAUCUGUUGUUUCGGCAGCAGGGAACCAGGACUUUUACUUUGAAAAAAUUAGAGUGUUCAAAGCAGGCUCGACGCCGGAAUAUAUUAGCAUGGAAUAAUAAAAUAGGACGUGCGGUUCUAUUUUGUUGGUUUUUGGAAUCGCCGUAAUGAUUAAUAGGGACAGUCGGGGGCAUUAGUACUCACAUGCUAGAGGUGAAAUUCUUGGAUUUUGUGAAGACUAACUUCUGCGAAAGUAUUUGCCAAGGAUGUUUUCAUUAA